GAUGAACGCUGACAGAAUGCUUAACACAUGCAAGUCAACUUGAAUUUGGGUUUUUAACUUAGGUUUGGGUGGCGGACGGGUGAGUAACGCGUAAAGAACUUGCCUCACAGCUAGGGACAACAUUUGGAAACGAAUGCUAAUACCUAAUAUUAUGAUAAUAGGGCAUCCUAUAAUUAUGAAAGCUAUAAGCGCUGUGAGAGAGCUUUGCGUCCCAUUAGCUAGUUGGAGAGGUAACGGCUCACCAAGGCGAUGAUGGGUAGCCGGCCUGAGAGGGUGAUCGGCCACAAGGGGACUGAGACACGGCCCUUACUCCUACGGGAGGCAGCAGUGGGGAAUAUUGGACAAUGGACCGAGAGUCUGAUCCAGCAAUUCUGUGUGCACGAUGAAGUUUUUCGGAAUGUAAAGUGCUUUCAGUUGGGAAGAAACAAAUGGCGGUACCAACAGAAGAAGUGACGGCUAAAUACGU
rnacentral:rRNA from 1 species